rnacentral:lncRNA from 1 species
AGGUGAGAUGUAAGGGUACAUCUGCACUGAACGUGACCGACUCCGGAGCUAUUUCUGCUGUCAAGAUUUGCUCCAAUGGAAUAUGGGUAUAAAUAUCCCUCCGACCUGAGACCGCCACGGUGACUUGCAAGCAACUCACUGCACUUAGGCACUGGACUACUUGAAUUUUUAAUUCAGUGACGGAAGGCUGCUGGGUGUAGUCAAGUACUUGACUUGUCAGUGCGUGUGUCAAGAUGGGAUUGACCACUCCAGUUUAGAAGCUGUGUACAGUCGUGUUUCAAUUUAGCAAAACCUUGGCCAGGGUAGUCCUUGUGAGGAGUCACAGGACUGUUUGAGUUGAGCAUGAUUCGGAUGAUCUGAUCAGGAUUGACAGUUUAACCCUGAGUCAUCCUAAACACAGGGGUCAAAAGGAUGAAUUAUACAGUAACCAUAUUCAUGUAGGUU